rnacentral:rRNA from 1 species
UAGGGAAUCUUCGGCAAUGGGGGGAACCCUGACCGAGCAACGCCGCGUGAGUGAAGAAGGUUUUCGGAUCGUAAAGCUCUGUUGUUAAGGAAGAACGAGUGUGAGAAUGGAAAGUUCAUACUGUGACGGUACUUAACCAGAAAGGGACGGCUAACUACGUGCCAGCAGCCGCGGUAAUACGUAGGUCCCGAGCGUUGUCCGGAUUUAUUGGGCGUAAAGCGAGCGCAGGCGGUUAGAUAAGUCUGAAGUUAAAGGCAGUGGCUCAACCAUUGUAGGCUUUGGAAACUGUUUAACUUGAGUGGAGAAGGGGAGAGUGGAAUUCCAGGUGUAGCGGUGAAAUGCGUAGAUAUAUGGGGGAACACCGGUGGCGAAAGCGGCACUCUGGUCUGUAACUGACGCGGAGGCUCGAAAGCGUGGGGAGCGAACAGG